AUGUGAAUAAAUCUCUUGAGCAAGAAAGGGAGAGAGCCACGACCAAGUUUGCAUUGCUUUUGUCUAACGCAAGAGACUGAAGAUGCCUCAGGUGGAUAUGACUCCAAAAAAUCCUCCGAGCAUUAUUUUUGGUAUGACUCUGCAUUUAUUGAGUGGUCACAUGAGUCUGCCCCAACUAGUGACAGGAGCUUCUUCUUCCCCCAGAAUGUCAGCAACUCUGUUGUAAAGUUUAUCAUCUGUGCUUAUCGAGUAAACUUUGAUUAAUUUGAGAAUCUGAGACAGUAGAUGGAUACUAGUAGCUUAAGAACUCUUUUGGUCCUUUUUAUUUCGAUUUUUUAUCUUGAUAUUUGGAGAGAAUGAAGGAUGUGAAUAGAGAAGGUAAAGAAUUUACUUCCACUGUUUAAACGAAAAGAUGGUUUGCCUUCAAUUGAGAAUGUAAAUUAAAUUGCAGAAGAAUUGGAUCGGGCUAACCUUCUCUUGUGGAGAAUCAGGGCCUUCGUGCUAAUGAUGGAUGGUUAUUGAAUGAACUAGAGUUGCAG
rnacentral:lncRNA from 1 species